GACAGAGGGUGCGAACGUUGCUCGGAAUUAUUGGGCGUAAAGAGCGUGUAGGCGGUCCGGUAAGUCGGCUGUGAAAGUCCAGGGCUCAACCCUGGGAUGCCGGUCGAUACUGCCGGACUAGAGUUCGGAAGAGGCGAGUGGAAUUCCCGGUGUAGCGGUGAAAUGCGUAGAUAUCUGGAGGAACACCGGUGGCGAAGGCGGCAUCCUGGACCGGCAUUGACGCUGAGGCGCGAAAGCCAGGGGAGCAAACGGG
rnacentral:rRNA from 1 species